AUACCACAAAAACUCGUAAAACAUGUGAAUCAUCAUUCCUCCACAGACUGAAGAGUAAACGUCAUAUUAAGCUUUAAAUACAACUGCAGAGAACUAGCGUCUGAUCUAAAGGAAUAACACACUGGCUGCAAGGAUUGAUCAACUCAGGGCAUCCAGCAUGCUGUGUAUCCAAAUCCACUCUGCCAUUCUUGUGGAGGUUGUACCAAAACACAGCGGAACCCUUCAAAAGCAGAGGAUGGAUGAGUUCAUUUUACUUAAAUUAUUCUAAUAUACCAUAUAGAUCAGGUUUACCUUUUUUGGCUUCAAUGCAACUCCAACUUUAGGAAACACAGUGGCGCCCCCUAUCUCCACAUCACUCAUCUUCAGCAAGAGCACAUAAAUUAUUGUUCAUAAUGACUGUACAACACAGAUAAUCACUUGAGGCCUGGAGAUAUUCUUCAGGAUCUCCAUCUCUCUGUCUGAUAUAAUGUCAUGAUAUCUGAUGAUGCGAGGCUCGUCCCACUCCACUUCCUCUUUCACUGGGUCAAAGUAUGUGAGUAGUUGAAGAACCAGAAGAACACUGGAUUGAAGUUCAUCAAAAGUUGUAGGGUUAAAAUAAUGUAAUAACAUAUUUCUUGAUCUAAAAACACAUGCCUGCAAGAUUGCUAAAUAUUC